rnacentral:rRNA from 1 species
AGUCGAGCGGAGACGGGAGCUAGCUCCUUGAUUCAGCGGCGGACGGGUGAGUAAUGCCUAGGAAUCUGCCUGGUAGUGGGGGACAACGUUUCGAAAGGAACGCUAAUACCGCAUACGUCCUACGGGAGAAAGCAGGGGACCUUCGGGCCUUGCGCUAUCAGAUGAGCCUAGGUCGGAUUAGCUAGUUGGUGGGGUAAUGGCUCACCAAGGCGACGAUCCGUAACUGGUCUGAGAGGAUGAUCAGUCACACUGGAACUGAGACACGGUCCAGACUCCUACGGGAGGCAGCAGUGGGGAAUAUUGGACAAUGGGCGAAAGCCUGAUCCAGCCAUGCCGCGUGUGUGAAGAAGGUCUUCGGAUUGUAAAGCACUUUAAGUUGGGAGGAAGGGCAUUAACCUAAUACGUUAGUGUUUUGACGUUACCGACAGAAUAAGCACCGGCUAACUCUGUGCCAGCAGCCGCGGUAAUACAGAGGGUGCAAGCGUUAAUCGGAAUUACUGGGCGUAAAGCGCGCGUAGGUGGUUUGUUAAGUUGGAUGUGAAAGCCCCGGGCUCAACCUGGGGAACUGCAUCCAAAACUGGCAAGCUAGAGUACGGUAGAGGGUGGUGGAAUUUCCUGUGUAGCGGUGAAAUGCGUAGAUAUAGGAAGGAACACCAGUGGCGAAGGCGACCACCUGGACUGAUACUGACACUGAGGUGCGAAAGCGUGGGGGAGCAAACAGGAUUAGAUACCCUGGUAGUCCACGCCGUAAACGAUGUCAACUAGCCGUUGGAAUCCUUGAGAUUUUAGUGGCGCAGCUAACGCAUUAAGUUUGACCGCCUGGGGAGUACGGCCGCAAGGUUAAAACUCAAAUGAAUUGACGGGGGGCCCGCACAAGCGGUGGAGCAUGUGGUUUAAUUCGAAGCAACGCGAAGAACCUUACCAGGCCUUGACAUGCAGAGAACUUUCCAGAGAUGGAUUGGUGCCUUCGGGAACUCUGACACAGGUGCUGCAUGGCUGUCGUCAGCUCGUGUCGUGAGAUGUUGGGUUAAGUCCCGUAACGAGCGCAACCCUUGUCCUUAGUUACCAGCACGUUAUGGUGGGCACUCUAAGGAGACUGCCGGUGACAAACCGGAGGAAGGUGGGGAUGACGUCAAGUCAUCAUGGCCCUUACGGCCUGGGCUACACACGUGCUACAAUGGUCGGUACAGAGGGUUGCCAAGCCGCGAGGUGGAGCUAAUCUCACAAAACCGAUCGUAGUCCGGAUCGCAGUCUGCAACUCGACUGCGUGAAGUCGGAAUCGCUAGUAAUCGCGAAUCAGAAUGUCGCGGUGAAUACGUUCCCGGGCCUUGUACACACCGCCCGUCACACCAUGGGAGUGGGUUGCACCAGAAGUAGCUAGUCUAACCUUCGGGAGGACGGUA